GUACAUUCUAAGUUACAGUAUAUAAUUACAUGUUACCCUUUUUUUCUUCCAUUUUGCUUUGUAAUAUUGCAAAGCCUCCAUUCAAUCAGUUUAAUUGUGUGCUGUCAUGUUAAAGGUUUUAUAUUGUUGAGUGGGCAUGGUAGAGAAUGACUUUCAUAAUCCAUCUUGAUUCUUACAAUGACUAAGGUAACAGUGAAUAAUAAUUUGUUAAAGAGCUACCUUCCAUGACAUAAACUGUUUAGACCAACUUUCUGAAAUAUUUUAGUGUGUACAAAUGAUGUAUAUUUCCAUUAAUUACUUA
rnacentral:lncRNA from 1 species